rnacentral:misc_RNA from 1 species
AAGUCGUAACAAGGUUUCCGUAGGUGAACCUGCGGAAGGAUCAUUCAUAAUAAGUGUUUUAUGGCACUUUUUAAAUCCAUACCCACCUUGUGUGCAUUGUAAGGGCCCUUUCGAAAGACUGGGCUUCAUUUUCUCACACGUCUUCAAUUGCAAGUCUAACAUUCAGAGUAUAAUCAAAAAACUCGAAUACAACUUUCAACAACGGAUCUCUUGGCUCUC